CGGACGGGUGAGUAAUGUCUGGGAAACUGCCUGAUGGAGGGGGAUAACUACUGGAAACGGUAGCUAAUACCGCAUAACGUCGCAAGACCAAAGAGGGGGACCUUCGGCCUCUUGCCAUCAGAUGUGCCCAGAUGGGAUUAGCUAGUAGGUGGGGUAACGGCUCACCUAGGCGACGAUCCCUAGCUGGUCUGAGAGGAUGACCAGCCACACUGGAACUGAGACACGGUCCAGACUCCUACGGGAGGCAGCAUG
rnacentral:rRNA from 1 species